rnacentral:rRNA from 1 species
UCGACGGAAGGCCCUUCGGGGUACUCGAGUGGCGAACGGGUGAGUAACACGUGGGUGAUCUGCCCUGCACUUUGGGAUAAGCCUGGGAAACUGGGUCUAAUACCGAAUAUGACCGCGCUCUUCAUGGGGUGUGGUGGAAAGCUUUUGCGGUGUGGGAUGGGCCCGCGGCCUAUCAGCUUGUUGGUGGGGUAAUGGCCUACCAAGGCGACGACGGGUAGCCGGCCUGAGAGGGUGACCGGCCACACUGGGACUGAGAUACGGCCCAGACUCCUACGGGAGGCAGCAGUGGGGAAUAUUGCACAAUGGGCGCAAGCCUGAUGCAGCGACGCCGCGUGAGGGAUGACGGCCUUCGGGUUGUAAACCUCUUUCAAUAGGGACGAAGCGCAAGUGACGGUACCUAUAGAAGAAGCACCGGCCAACUACGUGCCAGCAGCCGCGGUAAUACGUAGGGUGCGAGCGUUGUCCGGAAUUACUGGGCGUAAAGAGCUCGUAGGUGGUUUGUCGCGUUGUUCGUGAAAACUCACAACUCAAUUGUGGGCGUGCGGGCGAUACGGGCAGACUAGAGUACUGCAGGGGAGACUGGAAUUCCUGGUGUAGCGGUGGAAUGCGCAGAUAUCAGGAGGAACACCGGUGGCGAAGGCGGGUCUCUGGGCAGUAACUGACGCUGAGGAGCGAAAGCGUGGGGAGCGAACAGGAUUAGAUACCCUGGUAGUCCACGCCGUAAACGGUGGGUACUAGGUGUGGGUUCCUUCCUUGGGAUCCGUGCCGUAGCUAACGCAUUAAGUACCCCGCCUGGGGAGUACGGCCGCAAGGCUAAAACUCAAAGGAAUUGACGGGGGCCCGCACAAGCGGCGGAGCAUGUGGAUUAAUUCGAUGCAACGCGAAGAACCUUACCUGGGUUUGACAUGCACAGGACGCUGGUAGAGAUAUCAGUUCCCUU